AACUCCCUGACAGUAUACAGUGUAGACUCCCCGUUGUCAAACUCCCUGACAGCAUACACUAUAGACUCCACGUUGUCAAACUCCCUGACAGCAUACAGUAUAGACUCCCCGUUGUCAAACUCCCUGACAGCAUACAGUAUAGACUCCCCAUUGUCAAACUCCCUGACAGCAUACAGUAUAGACUCCACGUUGUCAAACUCCCUGACAGCAUACAGUAUAGACUCCACGUUGUCAAACUCCCUGACAGCAUACAGUAUUCUGGCCAGCCUGUCUGGCCGCCUGCUGGCCGCCGUGUCUGGCCACCUGUCUGUUCGGGCCUGUCCUGUAUCAAUCACUGUAUAUUGUACCUGUACUUCCUAUGUUUUCCUCACAGGCCACCUGUGCUGGCCACCUGUCUGGCCGCCUGCCUGGCCGCCUGUCUGGCCACCUGUCUGUUCGGGCCUUCCUGUAUCAAUCACUGUAUUAUUUGUACCUGUACAUUCCUAUGUUUUCCUUCAAGGCCACCUGUCUGGCCGCCUGCCUGCCGCUAGGGUGUUAUUUAAAGCUGAAUGUGCGUCUGCAAGAAAUGACUCCACAGUAAUCAGAUGUACUAUCAGGUGUAUAGACUGUGUCUGUUUUGUUACUGUCAGUGCUGCAGUGUUUACUAUCAUCCUGUCUUGCACAGCAGAAGGCAACCUGUGUUUACUCGAUCCUGUAUUUUUCCUGCUUCUUUGUAAAAUCUUGUCAAAUAAGGUAUUAAUGCUAAUUUAUGUAGUUAUAACAGUGAGUCCACUACUAAACCCUUCUAGUGACAUGGCUAAAAAGCUGACACAUUCUAACUUGAGUCAAAGCACUAUUGUCAUGUUUAAGCGGUGUGUAACAAUAAAGCUUUUUCAUGUGCUCUGAUAUCUGAUUCAGCCUAAUACCUACCUAGUAUACAGAUUUGUGUGAUCUAGAGAAUGUUGUCACGUAUAGGGGGGGGGGGGGGUGCCUUUUUCUCAGAACUGCCAUUCAAACAAGCAGUCACUUUGCUUGCGUUAUACGGUUGUACCACAAAAACGGAUUUGUAAUUCUAAGAAACAGUGAGAUUACUUAACAAAUCCAAACUCUUCUGUUCCUGACAAGUGUUUUUCGUACGUAUUUAUUCAUCCAUGCUGCCACACAGACAGACAUUGUUGGUACUGUAUGUAAUUACACAUGGUUUCCCUCCCAUCCAUAUGUCUGUAAUUAGGCAUUAGUGUUACAGCACAAUGCUGAGGGCCUGUCAGUGUGCUGUUCUGCCCCACAGGCCUGAGAUGAAUGGUAGCUAGUGUCUGUCUGUCUUUCUGACAGGAGGGGGAGAAAGAUAAUUGCAGGCUUAUCGCUGUGAUACACAAGCUUUGGAAUGUGACAGAAAGGCACAUCUCUGCCAGUCAGAGAAGCCUGGAUUUUCAAGUGGGACCAAGUGAAUGAAACUUGCGCUGCAAUGAGGACUUCCAGAUCUUUAUUAUAGUCUGUCAGCACCUCAUGUUAUAGGGUGUGCGCUCUUAUUUGAUCAUGGACAUCGGUCUCCUCCUCGGGGCCUGAGCGGCACAUGUGCAACCAACUGAUUUAUUGGAACCACAAAGUUCUGCUAGUCAGCGCCUCACCCUCUCGGGUGCGUAUUCUGUUAUUUACAUUAUUUACAUCUGACUCUCAGGCUGUGACUGGUGUGGUCUGCCUCUGACGUCAGACAGGCUGGGCGCAGGUCUGGAAUUCACCCCUGGGUCGGCUGUGAUUCAACAGGCCAGUGUCAUCACUUCCCUCCCUACACCAACAAACGGCAAGGUUGUGGGGAGAGACCACUGGAGAGGAGGAGGGGGGUUUAAGUCAGGCCUAUGGAAUCCAUUACAUACAGGCUCAAGGCUUUGUGUCUGUGAGGGGAACUCCAGCUACAUCAUCUAUCCAUCUAUUUUUAAAUCUAUUUUCUUUUAUUCUUUUCCAGUAACCCUACUACCCCUCCCCGAAUUGGAGUAAACUAAUGAACAAUAACACUUAGGCUUUUACUUUCAACUUAUACAUACUAUAUACAUUUUACGGACACAAUGUAUUUUACAAUAGUUUUGUUUUUACUCCUAUCCCUCAACCCCUCCCAUCUACAGUGGGGCAAAAAAAGUAUUUAGUCAGCCACCAAUUGUGCAAGUUCUCCCACUUAAAAAUAUGAGAGAGGCCUGUAAUUUUCAUCAUAGGUAAACUUCAACAAUGACAGACAAAAUGAGGGAAAUCACAUUGUAGAUUUUUAAAAUAAAUUUAUUUGCAAAUUAUGGUGGAAAAUAAGUAUUUGGUCAAUAACAAAAGUUUAUCUCAAUACUUUGUUUAUAUACCCUUUGUUGGCAGUGACAGAGGUCAAAUGUUUUCUGUAAGUCUACACAAGGUUUUCACACACUGCUGGUAUUUUGGCCCAUUCCUCCAUGCAGAUCUCCUCUAGAGCAGUGAUGUUUGGGGCUGUUGCUGGGCAACACGGACUUUCAACUCCCUCCAAAGAUUUUCUAUGGGGUUGAGAUCUGGAGACUGGCUAGGCCACUCCAGGACCUUGAAAUGCUUCUUACGAAGCCACUCCUUCGUUGCCCGGGCGGUGUGUUUGGGAUCAUUUUCAUGUUGAAAGACCCAGCCACGUUUCAUCUUCAAUGCUCUUGCUGAUGGUAGGCUUUGUUACUUUGGUCCCAGCUCUCUGCAGGUCAUUCACUAGGUCCCCCCGUGUGGUUCUGUGAUUUUUUUUCUCACCGUUCUUGUGAUCACUUUGACUCCACGGGUGAGAUCUUGCUUGGAACCCCAGAUCGAGGGAGAUUAUCAGUGGUCUUGUAUGUCUUCCAUUUCCUAAUAAUUGCACCCACAGUUGAUAUCUUCAAACCAAGCUGCUUACCUAUUGCAGAUUCAGUCUUCCCAGCCUGGUGCAGGUCUACAAUUUUGUUUCUGGUGUCCUUUGACAGCUCUUUGGUCUUGGCCAUAGUGGAGUUUGGAGUGUGACUGUUUGAGGUUGUGGACAGGUCUUUUAUACUGAUAACAAGUUCAAACAGGUGCCAUUAAUACAGGUAACGAGUGGAGGACAGAGGAGCCUCUUAAAGAAGAAGUUACAGGUCUGUGAGAGCCAGAAAUCUUGCUUGUUUUUAGGUGACCAAAUACUUAUUUUCCACCAUAAUUUGCAAAUGAAUUCAUUAAAAAUCCUACAAUGUGAAUUUCUGGAUUUUUUUUCUUCUCAUUUUGUCUGUCAUAGUUGAAGUGUACCUAUGAUGAAAAUUAUAGGCCUCAUCUUUUUAAGUGGGAGAACUUGCACAAUUGGUGGCUGACUAAAUACUUUUUUGCCACACUGUAUUUCUGAAGACCAUCCAGUUCUAUUUGCCAUAUUUUUAACUGCUGUUUCACAAAAGUUCUGAACCUAUAUACAUUUUAUGGACACAAUAUAUUUUACAUGAGUUAUCUUAUUAGCCUAGUCGUUAGAGCGUUGGGCCAGUAUCCGAAAGGUUGCUAGAUCGAAACCCCAAGCUGAUAAGGUGAAAAUCUGUUCUGCCUCUGAACAAGGCAAUUAACUCAGUGUUCCUAGGCCAUCAUUGUAAAUAAGGAUUUGUUCUUAACUGACUUGCCUAGUUAAAUAUAGGUUAAAAAAUGUUUUAAUUAGUCCCACCCUUCAGCUCCACUCAACCCCUCCCAUCUCUCUCUUAACACCAUCCAUAUUGGAUUUCUAUUUGUCAUAUUUUAACUGAGCUGUGAUGUUUUACAAAAAAAAACCUUUCUAUUCUCAUAGUUUCUACAGAUUGUAAAUUAAAUAACACUUUUAGCAAAAAUGUUUGUUAUUGAUUGAUUGACUUUGACUUUUCAAAUCACGCAGUAUUGCUAUCUGCAGCAUUAACUCCAGGUAAGUGUUGCAAUUCUUAAGCCAUUCCUGGACCUAUAACCAAAAACAAACUACAUAUGGACAGUACCAAAACAAGUUAUCUAAUGAUUGUGUCUUUCACAGCUAAAUUUGCAGAGCUGGGAUGGUUGUAUCCCCAAUAUAACAUAUUGGUUGCAAAAAAUUACAAGUUUUGUAUCAGGAGUCGUUUUUAUCAGUUCAUAAACCCUGGAAUCGGUACAUCGAAAAUCUCUUCCCAACUAUUUUGCAAAAUGUAGCUGUUUUUUUUCCCUUAAAUUUAACUGGUAUACUUUUUUAUUUGUCAUAAUUUUCUUUAACCAAGUUUGUUCAUUAAUGCAGGGCCAACAGACAAGUUCUUUACAUUUUCCCCCUUCAGCUUGCCUCCAUUUUUGCGGUAAUGCUGCAAUUAGUUGGUUGUAAUUUUGGGUAGAGCAGUAAUUUCCAUAUUUUUGUUAGCAACGUGUGACAACUCCACCAAUCCUAUUUAUGAUAUCAUUUACAAAGAUUAUACUUAUUUUAUUUAUUUGAAUUUUUUUAUUUUUUAUCAGUUAGUACAUUUGAGUUUAAACACACUAUUUGUUGUAGUAUUUGUUCUGUCUUUUCUGGUGGAUUAAACUGAAAUUGCAAUCAACUUUAUAUGGCUAUUUUUAAAAAUAGCGAUAUUUUGGAGAUUAUUUCAUAUUCAAAUAACCGAGUGAGAGGUUGUA
ensembl:lncRNA